CGGGACGGGUGAGUAAUGUCUGGGAAACUGCCUGAUGGAGGGGGAUAACUACUGGAAACGGUAGCUAAUACCGCAUAACGUCGCAAGACCAAAGUGGGGGACCUUCGGGCCUCUUGCCAUCGGAUGUGCCCAGAUGGGAUUAGCUAGUAGGUGGGGUAACGGCUCACCUAGGCGACGAUCCCUAGCUGGUCUGAGAGGAUGGCCAGCCACACUGGAACUGAGACACGGUCCAG
rnacentral:rRNA from 1 species